GAACCUGCAGGAGGGUAAGAAAUUGCAUGAACUUCAAUCAUCAUCAAAUGUCCUCUGGCUAGUAGGACUAGGUGUGUUCAGCUGUCUGAGUUCCCUCUAUGACAUCACUGGCUACCAUCCCACCUGGAUAUGCAAACCAGUGCCCUUUGGAUCAAUUCGAGGCAUGCCAGUCCAGCGUCCUGUGUGCUACCUUCUCAUCUGCAAAGCUUCUUCCAUGUCAGUGGAGACCUGUCCCCUCCACGUGUAGUCCCUAGAAAACUGCACUCAUCUCCAUUUCCAAAUGUUAAUUCUACCCAAGGUGUGCCCGCCACCUGAGGCCGUCCUUCUGUUUCCUUCUGCUUUGCAGCAGCCUCAGUCUGCAGGAGCCAGUGAAGGGCCACUGCUCCAAAGCAUAACUCCUGCAGGCUCAACGGUGGCCAGAUGCACCCAUGCACCUCGGUGAGCCCAAGCUUGUGGAAAUUAACUCGUGUCAUGUGACCUAAAGCCAAGCCAAGCCAAGCCAGGUGCAGUUUGGUGAACAUUUGUAAUCCAAGCACCAGAGGCUGAGGCAGGAGGAUCGAGAGUUCCAGUCCCAGGCCAGUUUGCCUUACACAAUGCUUCUGCCAGGGGAAAGAGAAUAAGGAAACUACAAGAUCAUUCCCAGGCUCUGUUGAUACUCACCGUCUUCCGUAAGAAACACAGAAGGCGUGCCGUACAUCUCAUUAGAAUCAACAAAGUACAGAAUUCCACAGAGGCUGGCCUCGCAAUAAUGGAGUAAAUAAAGCCACAGUGAAAUGGUGACCCUAAAGGAGGGAGGCAGAAGGAAAAUUCUGCAGAUUGAUAUCAUCCGAGAACAGGUACAUGUAUUACCUUUGCAGCUAAGGAAGACAAGAACAAAGGCUCUGGAUAUUUCUAUGCAGGCAGAGAGAAGCAGCCAGCUGCAUUCCACUGGCCUCUCUACCCCGGGCCUCUGAGGCUGUUCAGCUCAACCCAAUCGCUUCAAAGAGACAAAGUCCAGUGGGUGAAGGAAACAUGAUUCACAUCGAUAAAAAGUCAACUUUAAAAAAAGGAUUCCUUCUAAUUUAGAACCUGGGUUAGGGCUGUAUUAGCAUAUCUCAGAGAGGCGGCAUAGCAAAGCCAAAAGAAUGGAGGUCUGGACUCCAGUUAAAUAAUCUCCCUGAGCCUCCAGUUUUCCCCUUCAUUAAGAAGAGGAAGAGAAUAAUGCUGUCUUUCCCUUGAGAUUGUUACAAGGAUUAAAUGAGACAAUGUGCCUGGAAAAAGUGUUUUGUUCAUUGUAAAGGGCAACGCAGAUGCGAGCCACUAAUUAGUGUUAUUACUGGAAACCUCAGACUACUGUGAUUAACUGGGGAAAGGGGGACUGAGUCUCUGGGUUUUUUUUUUAAGUCCAAAUAUAUAGCUUAUAAUUAGAAAUGGAUUCUCACGUCAUUGGCCUGAACAAUCCUGAUGCAUGUCCAGUUUGUUUGAGAGUCAUUUUUAUUUUUUUCCACAAGGAUGAUACGUUAAGCCUGGACCCAAGUUCUGACUUAAAUUUCAGUUAUUUUAUUGUAAUAGAAUGUUGUUAUAAGAAACCAUACUUUCAAGUGGCAAGAUGGCUCAAGGUGCUUGCAGCCAAGAGAUUGAACCUUGGCACCCACAUGGUGAAGAAGGGAGUCAAUCCCCCUUCAGGUUUUCCUCUGACCUCUAUAUACACACACACAACUUGGCAUGUGCAUGUGUCCUCCCCAACCCCAAAUUAAUAAAUAACUGUAAUUUUAAAUAUCGUCCAUGAUGCUCCAAGAGUUUCUCAUCAGACACCUGUCGUGAACGGAGGCACAAGGGCAGAACGGUCACUACUGUUAAUGUGGUGCUUGGAAAUCUUCACAGUGUGGUCCUGAAUAACCUCACCCACGCCUGGCAUUCUGCCUUCAAAUGCAAGUAAGUGCUUCAGACACAUAGCAAGCACACUACUGGUCUGCAUCUUCAUCUCAUAGUGGAUGCUGGCAGUCAGUUGACAUGACCCUUCAUGUGUACAGGCUGGGUCUCAGAGCCCUCUUAACUUCCUCCUGCAGGAAGGCAACACACAGCCUGCCUGCCAAAUUGCACAUAGAGGGAUGUGGCUGUGUCAUGCAACCCCUUCCCCCAUUCAGCGCUAUAACUCCCUCUGUCCUUUCUGCCUUUCUGAUAUCUUGAUCUCCAUUCUUCUGACUAUGAGAGCUUUGCUUAGCCAUCAGGUCUCUGUCCAAAUGUCACCUCCUCUGUGACAAACCCCACUGAAGCACCUGAUAAGCACAUAGCAGCUUAAGUCUAAGGUGAAUGGCAUGAAAUAAAUAAAUAAUUAAUAGCUAGCUUUACAGCCCUAGGCACCUGUCUAACCCAAUGGUUAAAUAUGAUGUUUGGGAGGCAAAUGAUCCAGCCUUAAAUACCAGCUCUGUGGUUAGUAGUUGUGUGACCUGAAACAGAUCAUUCUACUUCCCCAAGUCUACUUCCCCAUCAGCAAGUUUAGAAGGCAGAGUGUUGGGUAGAGAAGCUAGGCUCUUCCCACGAUGUCUGGCACAUGACUAGGACUUGGAAAUAGAGAGUGGCUGUGACUGUGCCAUAGCUGUGUUUGUCUCCUACACAACCACCUUAAAGAGAGGGACUAGCUUUCUACCCGUAAGUUCCCAGAUUUGGGGAAGAAACUGGUCGGUAGAGGCUCAGUCAAUCUUUGAACACAAUACACAUCCCAAGAGAGACUGUGUACACCAGCUAGAGGUCCAAUAGGCAAUUUCUGAUUGUGGAAAUAAACCGCUCAUGAACACACAUACAUUUGUGGAUGGGACAAGGGGAGGUAGCAAUUUGGACUAACAGUCAAAGUUUAGGGAGGAUUUCAGCAGGGACACAUGGAAGGAGGGAAGGCCACAUGCUGAUGGAGCUGGUGACACUUGUUGGGACAGUGUAGGACAAUAAGCAUCCUAGGUCAGAGGAACUAAAUCAGGAAGACCCAAAAGUGGGAGUGUCAGACUCAACCCACUAAGGCAGAGCUGAGCCAUGUGUGUUUGCAAGAGAAGUAACUGGGACCCUGCAGCCUCAGUCAGUGUGAUAGGCCAUUUGGGAAGCUACGGCUCAAGGAGCUUGCAUUAUAAUGUUCUACAGGAAACCAGAAAAUAUAGGUAUUUAAUUACAGUGUUCAAAAUACAGAGGUGGAUGCUCUCAGCCAACUACUGGACUGAGCACAGGGUCCCCAGUGGAGGAACUAGAGAAAGGACUGAAGGAGAUGAAGGAGCUUUAGCCCCAUAGGAAGAAUAACAUCAACCAACCAGUACCUCCAGAGCUCCCAGGGACUAAACCACCAACCAAAGAGUACACAUGGAGGGACCCCGUGGCUCCAGACACAUAAGUAUUAGAGGAUGACCUUGUUGGACAUUAAUGGGAGGAGAGGUCCUUAGUCCUGUGAAGGCUCGAUGCCCCAGUGUAGGGGAAUGCCAGGACAGGUAAGUGGGAGUAGGUGGGUUGGGGGGAGGGGAGAGAUGGGAUAGGGAUGUUUCAGAGGGGAAACCAGGAAAGGGGAUAACAAUGUAAUGUAAUGAAAUGUAAAUAAAGAAAAUAUCUAAUUUUUUUUAAAAAGGAAAGAACUUUCUGAACAACAACAAUAACAAAAAAUAAUUACAGUGUCCAGUAGUUAUUGCCUACAGAGGAGACCAAAAAGAUAAUGCCAGGCAAGGUCACUAUCUCAGACCAGAUGGUCACAGAAGCAGGCAUUUGAGUGCUGGGAUGAAGGAGGUAAAGAUGCAACCUGAACAGAGAUUAGGAGAUGAGCAUUCUAGGUGGCAACAGUUACCCACAUGUCCUCAAAUGUCCCCAAGUGGGACUGAAUGUGGCCUGUUUAGGUAGAAGCAAGCAGACUCAUGUGGCCAGGAGGUGGAGCCAGCAAGAGCUGCAUGACAGCAUGGUUUGACUCCCAAGUAGCAGAAUAGGGAGGUUCAAAGGGGGACAGAGGUGACCAGGCUGCACUGCACAGCCUUCCAGGAGAGAGAGGAGGCAAGGCUGACGCUGGAGAGCCACGAGGCUGAGGUCAAAGUCCAGGAGGGUGGUGACUUAGACAAGGAUGCCAGCAGUCCACGUGGCAAGGAGAGAUUGAACAGAUGGCAUAGACAGUUUCAGCUGUAGCCAACAGCACUGGCAGACUCUUUCCUGAGGGUGUGACAAGGAAGAGGUUCUGAGGAUGGCCCGGGUUGAAUGUUAACUCCAGCCCCACCCCACCCCGUGUUUUCAGUGAGUUCAGGAAUGAGUCAGACACACAUUGGACUUAAGGGAUAAGGCCCAUCCCCUCCCCCAAGGAAACAGACAACAAUCAGGUGGAGGAGCCACAGGCGUUGCUUGCCCAGCCGCCUAUGGCUCCGUGGCGAGAACACAACAGGGACAGGUAUGCAGAAGGGCAUGUGUAAGAGUCUUGGUUCAAGGUAUCUGAAAGAUGUUGAUUUUGGAUCUGGGUCGGGCUUGUUCAGCAGGGAUGGAUGCAGACUUGCCAGUUGUCCUCCAAAAGUCAAACCAGUGGUCCAGCCUGGGCCUUUCUUGAGAUAUUCAGUCCUAUCCUGGAACACAAGCUAAGCUGGUGGUAGAGAGGACUUCAACCAUUCUCCUGGAAAAUCUAGGCACAGGGAGAGUUUGUGCCUUUUCAUAAACAACAAAAAAGAUGAAGCUGGAUCGGGGCACAGAGGCAGGACCAUAUAGGAUAUGAGAUGCUUGGCUCAGAGAGCAUUUUCCAAGCCCUAUCUCAAUGGGGAUGCAUUUUACAGAGGGGUCCAGACCUGCAGGUGCCCCUGAAGCUCAUCUGGGCUCUCCUGAUCUCUCAGCUAGCUGUUGCCAGGAAGCAAAGGAAGUAAAAAGGGCUCUGUUAAGAACCAGGCUUCCCUCUAGCCCCGUUAGCCCACAGCCCCAUCCAGAACAAAAGUCAGAGCACGUCUUACAGCCUGCCACACUCGGCUCAGGUGACUUCUCUUUUAAGGAGAGAGGGAAAAUGGGCUCAUUUUGAUAAACAAAUCAUAGUUGCAGGUGCAGGGCUGGUUUGAGAGUGCCAAAGACUCCCACCUCCAUUUUCAGUGAUUUUUUAACUCCUAAGAAAGGUUUUCCUGUGUGCAAUGAUUUGAUUAGGUUGGUUCUCACGCCAAAAGUAAUGUUCUCAAGAAGGCGGGUAGAAAAUUCCCACUGUGCCAUUCCUGGCCCUUGCAAACAGGGCAAGGAACAGCAGAAGGAAGAGAAGGCACCCCACCCCCAUUUGCAAGGCACCCUGAGAACGUCAUUUUAAGACACCCCGUUUGCAAUUUGGUCAUUUUUCAAUGAGAAAGACAUACAUUUUCGGAACAUGAAAUGGAAUCAUGAAGCCUGGUGAAGUCAGAGGCAAAGCAAAACUGUGGCUGUUUGAGCCCUGCCCUGCUCCCUUCUGUUUGACAAAUUGGGGGUUCCCUGUGGAAGGCGCUCAGAUAGGAGUUAGCAUGGGCUCUGCCUGGAGGAGGGUGGCUCACCCAUUUAUGCAUAGUUCCUGUAUUCCAGACAUCUAAUUACCCAGCUCUUCCCACAAUCCGUGUGUGUGUGUGUGUAUGUGUGUGUGCAUGCACUCACACACACACACACCAAGCAAAUGCAGAUACUAUGAAACCUGAUUCUAGUCUACAGAUAACAGUAUUCAGUGGUGUUGGUUCCCUAGUUUUAAUACUGUGGUGUGAUUACAGAAUGCAGUACCAGUGGGAAAAGCUGGACUAUGGCACAAAGGACUUCCUCUACCAUUUCUCUCAUUUCUAGUGGCUCUACAAUUAGAGUCAAAUAAAGAGCUUUCAAGAUGCUGUUUAAUGUAUGCAGCAAGAACUAUGGACCUAUAUGGCCACACACACACACAGCCACUUUGGAACUUACUAAGAAGUCACCACAACCACUGUUUCCCCAGAAAUCAUAUCCCAAAGGUGAGAAAAAGCAUGUCACUAGAGACAGAGCAUGGAUGGGGUCAUGUCCUUAAAUCACCUCCCAUACCAGCUCUGAAAAAGACCAAGUCUGAGGAACCGACUGGAAAGGCCCAUUGUCAUGGGCUGUGGAAUUCCUGCACCUGCCAAGCCAGCCUGGGAGUUGGGCCAGAGUCUAAACAAGAUCAAAGUCCUAUCCACAGUCCCACCCCCUAGACCAGAGAUUGAAAUUUUGGGGUGCAUCAGAAUCCAUGUCAGAUGCUGAGCCCACUCCAUCUCCAGUCCUAGGUAGCUGAGGAACAUUGUGUUGAUAGCACAAACACUAGAUACUGCGGUUGCAAGUGCUCAUGGGUGGAAAUCAUACUAGACCUGGGUGGGGUCUGGGGACAGACCCUGCUCACUCCCCAUGCCAAGUGAAGAGAACUGACAGGUGCUCAGGCCCCCAGAGCCAGUGCCUCUCCUCCCACGGGAGAACUUGGAACCCACUUCAUAAGUCUCCAGCUCUGAUGUGUAGAGAGGCUGUGGAAUGACCCAGGAGCCUCUGUAUGGAUCCUGUGUAGGCUAUCACCACACAGCAUUUAGGAUAAUAUGCAGAAUUUAGGCUCCCCCAUCAGUGUGGCAGCUUGGUGCUGAGGGCUGGUGAUGGACAAAGCAACUGCAGCUCGUUCAGUACCCAUCACUCUGUUCUGAGAGAAGGCUCCGUUAGCCUAUAUUAUAGAUUAAGGAAACAGAGGCUAGGCAAGCUCUGGCUACACACACAGAAGUAAUGGCGCAGGUCCGCCCCGGCCACAAGUUACUACCCUGAGGCACAACGUCCCUUUCUGGCACAAAGAUGGCUCUGGCGUCUCUCUCAUCUAGAAGAAAGAUGAAACGUUCUUCUUCUAAAUAACAGAAGCCGUGGGGCUUGCUGGGGAGCCAGUUCCCCUUUCAGUGUCUUUAUUGUUUCUAAGCAGCUCUCAAGCUCUCCAAGGUUCCCACCACGGCCCCCUUGAUUCCUUUCUGUCUUUUAUCUUUCUCACUAUUCUCCCUUAAUCUUCCUCUUUUCUUUCAUUUUUUUUUAUUUCGCUCCUUUUUGUUUCCAAGUCUAAAGUGACAGACACAAUAGACCUCUCCGUUCACCUCGUCUUACUGAUGCUAACUUAGAAUUUGCUCCUGGGCCCGGCACAAUAGCUCAGUGGGUAAAGGUGCUUGCUGCAAAGUCUAAUGACCUGAGUUCUAGCCCUCAGACUGACACGAAUGAAAGAGAGAAAUGACUCAGGCAAAUUGUGCUCUGAUGUCCAUGGGACACACACACACACAUACACACACACACACACACACACACACACACAAUUUAUAAAAGGAAUUUGCCCCUGCUGUUGUGCGAUGACACCGGCAAUCUCAAAACACAAGAAUGUGCUGUGCCACGAGGCACGUGACCUACCACUUU